CGGAACUUCGGGUUUAGUGGCGGACGGGUGAGUAACGCGUGAGAAUCUGCCUCUAGGUCGGGGACAACAAUUGGAAACGAUUGCUAAUACCCGAUGUGCAGCAAUGUGAAAGAUUAUUGCCUAGAGAUGAGCUCGCGUCUGAUUAGCUAGUAGGUGUGGUAAUGGCGCACCUAGGCGACGAUCAGUAACUGGUCUGAGAGGAUGACCAGUCACACUGGGACUGAGACACGGCCCAGACUCCUACGGGAGGCAGCAGUGGGGAAUUUUCCGCAAUUGGGCGAAAGCCUGACGGAGCAAUACCGCGUGAGGGACGAAGGCUUUUGGGUCGUAAACCUCUUUUCCCUGAGAAGAAGAUCUGACGGUAUCAGGGGAAUCAGCAUCGGCUAACUUCGUGCCAGCAGCCGCGGUAAUACGAGGGAUGCAAGCGUUAUCCGGAAUUAUUGGGCGUAAAGCGUCCGCAGGUGGCUCUGUAAGUCUGUCGUUAAAGAAUGGGGCUCAACCCCAUACAGGCGAUGGAAACUACAAGGCUAGAGUUUGGUAGGGGUCACGGGAAUUCUUAGUGUAGCGGUGAAAUGCGUAGAUAUUAGGAAGAACACCAGCGGCGAAAGCGCGUGACUGGGCCAGUACUGACACUCAUGGACGAAAGCUAGGGGAGCGAAAGGGAUUAGAUACCCC
rnacentral:rRNA from 1 species